CGUACAUUAUUAAAUUCUUACCUUAAGUUAGAUUAAAGUACUACAUUGAUUUUCUUUUCAUCAUCGCUAUUCUGUUUAUUCUGUUUAUUCACACACAAUUCAAGCGGCGUCAUAACAAAUUGAUUUUCCCACAACAUUAUUCGCAUUAUCGCAUAUUUUGCUAGCAAAUGCGGAUCAAGAUUGCCCGAAAUCCAAUUUUCAGCGCUCAAAAUCAAAGAGCUUUUCCGGUGGAAAUGUGUUUGUUUUCUCUCUCUGCGCCGCAUUUCAAUCGCAGGACUGCGACUGCAGGCAGUCUUAAAGGCAAACAGACAAGGCGAAUUUGCUCCUGGAGAUUCCUUAAAUGCCAAGAUGUCGGGCUGCCUGCAAAGUUGGUCGCCAGCCAGAUGCUGAAAGCAAUGCAGCGACAUGGAAAAUACCACAGCGGCGAAUGCACAGACACGCAGGAUGUGGAUGCCAGGACGAGGUUGAAGGAUGGUGUGGAAGGAUGGGGAUCCGGGCCUUCUGGGCUUCUGUGCUCAAGAUGACGGUGCUGCGGGCCAGUCGCUUGAGUGGAGUGUCCUCGUCCAUGUCCCCAGCCCAAAUCCCGAGUGCAUAGACAGAUGCUGCAGCUCCAGCUCAAGCUCAAGCUCACUGAACAAAAAUCCUAUGUAAUAUAUGAGUAAUUAAAAAGAUCGGUUACUAAGCCAAA